rnacentral:rRNA from 1 species
AGAGUUUGAUCCUGGCUCAGGAUGAACGCUAGCGGCAGGCUUAACACAUGCAAGUCGAGGGGCAGCGUGGAGCAGCAAUGCUCUGACGGCGACCGGCGGAAGGGUGCGUAACACGUGAGCGACUUGCCCGUCACAGGGGGAUAACCGGCGGAAACGGCGACUAAUACCCCAUAUGAUGCGAUGCUGCAUGGCAUUGCAUUGAAAGAUUCAUCGGUGGCGGAUAGGCUCGCGGGACAUUAGCUAGACGGCGGGGCAACGGCCCACCGUGGCGACGAUGUCUAGGGGUUCUGAGAGGAAGACCCCCCACACUGGGACUGAGACACGGCCCAGACUCCUACGGGAGGCAGCAGUGAGGAAUAUUGGUCAAUGGGCGGAAGCCUGAACCAGCCAUGCCGCGUGAAGGACUAAGGCCCUACGGGUCGUAAACUUCUUUAGACGCAGAGCAAUAAGGUCCACGUGUGGACCGAUGAGAGUAUGCGUAGAAUAAGCAUCGGCUAACUCCGUGCCAGCAGCCGCGGUAAUACGGGGGAUGCGAGCGUUAUCCGGAUUCAUUGGGUUUAAAGGGUGCGUAGGCGGCCGAGUAAGUCAGCGGUGAAAGACCGGGGCUCAACCCUGGAAGUGCCGUUGAUACUGUUUGGCUGGAAUGAUCCCGCCGCGGGAGGAAUGAGUGGUGUAGCGGUGAAAUGCAUAGAUAUCACUCAGAACACCGAUUGCGAAGGCAUCUCGCGAGGGGUCAAUUGACGCUGAGGCACGAAAGCGUGGGGAUCGAACAGGAUUAGAUACCCUGGUAGUCCACGCAGUAAACGAUGAUGGCUAACUGUCGGGCCUGCGGGUUCGGCGGCCAAGCGAAAGCGAUAAGCCAUCCACCUGGGGAGUACGACCGCAAGGUUGAAACUCAAAGGAAUUGACGGGGGCCCGCACAAGCGGAGGAACAUGUGGUUUAA